rnacentral:rRNA from 1 species
AAUCUUCCACAAUGGGUGCAAACCUGAUGGAGCAAUGCCGCGUGAAUGAAGAAGGUCUUCGGAUCGUAAAGUUCUGUUAUUAGAGAAGAACAAGUAAAGGAGUAACUGUCGUCACUUUGACGGUACCUAACCAGAAAGUCACGGCUAACUACGUGCCAUCAGCCGCGGUAAUACGUAGGUGACAAGCGUUGUCCGUAAUUAUUGGGCGUAAAGGGGGCGCAGGCGGUUGGAAUAGUCUGAUGUGAAAGCCCACGGCUUAACCGUGGAAGGUCAUUGGAAACUGUCCAACUUGAAUGCAGAAGAGGUAAGUGGAAUUCCAUGUGUAGCGGUGAAAUGCGUAGAUAUAUGGAGGAACACCAGUGGCGAAGGCGACUUACUGGUCUGUGAUUGGCGCUGAGGCUCGAAAGCGUGGGUAGCGAACA